GCCUGGGUGGCUCAGUCGGUUAAGCAUCCGACUUCGGCUCAGGUCAUGAUCUCACAGUUUGUGGGUUCGAGCCCCGCAUCGGGCU
rnacentral:tRNA from 1 species